UUGCGNNUGGGCGAAGCCUGACGCAGCCAUGCCGCGUGGAUGAUGAAGGUCUUAGGAUUGUAAAAUCCUUUCAGCGGGGACGAUAAUGACGGUACCCGCAGAAGAAGCCCCGGCUAACUUCGUGCCAGCAGCCGCGGUAAUACGAAGGGGGCUAGCGUUGCUCGGAUUUACUGGGCGUAAAGGGCGCGUAGGCGGACAGUUUAGUCAGAGGUGAAAGCCCAGGGCUCAACCUUGGAAUUGCCUUUGAUACUGGCUGUCUUGAGUACGGGAGAGGUGAGUGGAACUCCGAGUGUAGAGGUGAAAUUCGUAGAUAUUCGGAAGAACACCAGUGGCGAAGGCGACUCACUGGCCCGUUACUGACGCUGAGGCGCGAAAGCGUGGGGAGCAAACAGGAUUAGAUACCCUGGUAGUCCACGCUGUAAACGAUGAGUGCUAGUUGUCGGGCGGCAUGCCGUUCGGUGACGCAGCUAACGCAUUAAGCACUCCGCCUGGGGAGUACGGUCGCAAGAUUAAAACUCAAAGGAAUUGACGGA
rnacentral:rRNA from 1 species